GCUUGAAGGUUCCAGGAGGGGGAGGACAAAGGCCAAGCGCCACAAAGAGCAGUCCAGCCUUAGGAGGAACAGCAAAGCCUUAGAGGUCUCGCAAACCCACAAAGAUGAAAACUUCCCAGGGAACAGAGAGAUGGCUCAAGAGAACAGAUCAAAUGUUCCUGAAAAUAGGUCACAUGUUUCUGAGGGCAGAGAAAAUGUCAUUAGAAACGCAGAUGAUUUUCUGGAGACAAGAUCAAAUGUCCCAAAGAGUACAGCAAACAUUCCAGAUCACAGACAGAAUGUUCCAGAAAACAUAGCAAGUAUUCUGGAGAACAGGUCUAAUGUCACAAACAAUAGAAAAAACAUUCCAGAUCACAGACAGAAUGUUCCAGAAAACAUAACAAGUAUUCUGGAGAACAGGUCUAAUGACACGAACAAUAGAACAAACAUUUCAGAGAACAGACAGAAUAUUCCAGAAAACAGACCAAAUGUCCCAGAGAACAGACCCAAUAUGACAGAGAACGCACAGAACAUUCCAGAGAAUAGACCAACCAUUCUAGACUACAAGCCAGAUCUUAUAGAGAACAAACCAAAUGCUCCUAACUCACAAUCUCUGAGCCAGUUUAACCCACAGAAUCUCAGGCCUGAGGGCAAAGGCCAUCCAUUACUGGGACCUCAGCCCCAGGCAGCUGGUCCACUGCAAUGUGAGAGAGCCAAGAAGAAACAGGGCAGGAAGACUAGGAAGAUGGAGGAAGAAUUAGGUGGCAACAUCCGAGCUGGUGAAAGAGACUUCUACGAGGAAUGUGUUGAAAUGAGCUCUAGCCUAGAAACAAUCCCAAACAAACAAAUCUGGUUCAAAGUACACAAACAGGAGAGGAUUGCCGUGCAGGAGCGUAUCACACAUGGCCGCUCUGCCGACGGCUCUGCCUCGGAGCUGGAGCUGAGUGAGGAGAGCGAUAGCGGACUAAACAAUCCCGAUGAUGAAAUUGGUAAAUAUGAAUAUUUAUUGAUUU
rnacentral:lncRNA from 1 species